UCCUCGUCGAGUACUCGCCAUCCCUCUCGCUCGAUCUUUUUGGGUCGAUCGAUCGAGAGCGAGAUGGGGAGGGGGAGAGUGCAGCUGAAGCGGAUCGAGAACAAGAUCAACCGCCAGGUGACCUUCUCCAAGCGCCGAUCGGGGCUGCUGAAGAAGGCUCACGAGAUCUCCGUCCUCUGCGAUGCCGAGGUCGCCCUCAUCAUUUUCUCCGCCGAGGGCAAGCUCUAUGAGUACGCCAGCAACUCCUGCAUGGAAAAGAUCCUUGAACGUUACGAACGUUACUGCUACGCUGAAAAGGCAAUUGCUUGCUCAGAUCCUGGACCUCAGGGCAACUGGUACAGAGAAUAUGCCAAACUUAAGGCUAAGUUUGAGGUUUUGCAUAGAAGCCAAAGGCAUCUCAUGGGAGAACAACUUGACUCAUUGACCGUCAAAGAACUCCAACAAUUAGAACAUCAGCUUGAAACUUCUAUGAAGCAAAUUAGAUCAAGAAAGACACAAAUAAUGCUCGACUUUGUAGCUGAGCUCCAAAUAAAGGAUGCUUCGAUCAGGAUGAGACAAUUAAAGCAGGAAAAUCAUGUUGUGCCGAAGGAACAUGUCAGAAGAUUGGACGUCGGGCUGGUAGAUCGGUCGACGUAUCGACAGAAGGCUCCGGGCAGUGGACUCGGGCAUCGGGCCAAGAAGAGCGGUUAUUGUGCCAAGGAUAUCGGAGUUGCGGAGUCAACUGACCGAUUGGGCAAUAGGCCGCAGGAGAGGACGAUGCGCCGAAGAAUCAGACGAAGCGUCGAGGGACCAAUGACAUGCCGGAGAACUUGGUUAAUUGCUUAGGAUUAAUUGUCUCGAUCGAAGUUUUGUUUUAAGUGUGCAGGAUUAACUACGAUGAAAGUUAGACAAGCAGCAGGAGUUGCGCCGGAGUCAAGAUCAUGAUCACGUUGGGAGUUCGAGAGUUCGACGGAAGUUCGGACGGUCGUCGGAGGUUCUGCGAGAACAGAUCCGAGAAGUCCAGAAGCUUGCCAAGCGAAGCUCGUCGGAACUCGCCAAGUGGAUCGUCGCAAAGUCCAGGAGUUUGCCGGAAGUCCGCAGAAGAAUCACCGAGGGUUCAUCGGAUGAUCGACGGAAGUUCGCCGGAAACUUGCCGGAAGAAGCGAUUGACGCAUCGGAGCAAAGCUGCAGAAAUUGUCUUAGAUUUAAUCGUAGUUAGCAUGUUGAUUAAGUUGGAAAAUGGGAGGUGAUCCCAUUAGCUUAAUCUUGGGGCAAUUGGGCCCCUGAAAAGAUUGAAAUUGGGCCGAAUGGAGCUAACCAUUCGGACCCUGAUUGCACCAGGAGGUGCAACCGCCUAGGCCAGGAGGUGGCACCGCCUGGGCUAAGUCUCCCAGCGAGACUGGGCGGUGCAACCGCCCCAGUCAAGAGGUUCAACCGCCUGAGCUCAGUCUUCGAGCUAGACUGGGCGGUGCAACCUCCCUGACAGAGAGGUAGCACCGCCUGAGCUCGGUCUUCGAGCUCUGGCAGAGAGGUGCAACUGCCUCAGUCAAGAGGUGGCACCGCCUGGGGCUUAGUCUUCGAGCCAGACUCAGGCGGUGCAACCGCCCCUGACAAAGAGGUGCAACCGCCUGGGCUCAGUCUCCGAGCUCUGCCAUGCGAUGCAACCUCUCCAGUCAGGAGGUGCAACCGCCUGAUCUCGGAAUUUCGGGAUUUGAUCGUUUUGAGCUCCAAAUUUGAAUUGGGUUGGGGCCUAUAAAUACCCCACCCAUUCAGCACAGAAAGAGCAAGAGACAGACCUACACCGAAAUCUUGAUUCUUUCUGUGAUUCUAAGAGCUCAAAAUUGUUGUAAAGCCUUUGAGUCUCCUCCUUCUGUUCUUUAAGCUUCUGAAUUGUAAAAGUGAGGAGAGAAAGGUUCUGUAAGGGUUGUCUCCUGAGCCCAUCAAAAGGAGUGAAACUGUAAAAGGGCAGUUGGCCUUCGCCCAUUGAAGGAAGGCAGCUAGUUGACGUCGGUGACCUCGUCGGAGGAGGAAGCCAAAAGUGAGUAGGUCAAGACUGACCGAACCACUCUAAAUCUCUGGUUUGCUUUUAUUUCGAGUACCUUAUCAUUACUGCAAACCUCCUACAUAACUACUGCUCUCUGUGCCUUUACGAAUAAGUUCUAAGUGCUGAUCUUUUCGAAUAUGCAUUCAGACGUAAAUCUGUGUUUUUCGUACGAUCAGCUUACGUUUGUGUUUUGAUUCUGCAAAACUGUCUUCUGCGCUUUUAUGAACUAGCUUCUAAGUUUAGAUCCCUUUGAAACUGUUUUAGACGCAAACUACGUUUAGACGUAAAACUGCGUUUAAACGUAAACUGCGCAAACUGUGUUUAAACAUAAAAUUAUGUUUUAGACGUAAACUUCUUUUAAACGUAAAACUACGUUUAGACGUAAAACUACGUUUAGACGCAAACUGCGUUUAGACGUAAAACUACGUUUAGACGUAAACUGAGUUUAGACGCAAAACUGUGUUUAGACGCAAACUGCGCAAACUGUGUUUAGACAUAAAACUAUGUUUUAGACGUAAACUACUUUUAGACGCAAACUGCGUUUAGACGUAAAACUGCGUUUAGACGCAAACUGAGUUUAGACGCAAACUGCGUUUAGACGCAAACUGCGUAAACUGCGCUUAAUCUUAAGAUCGACUUUUACAUCGAAAUCGCUUUUAUUGAACAAACGCAGCUUUCGUUUUUAAUCGCUGAAAGAUUUCCGCUGCACUAAUUCACCCCCCCCCCCCCUCUUAGUGCUCUCGAUCCUAACAAUUGGUAUCAGAGCAGGGUAUUUCUCAUUUCGGAUUUACACCCGAGAGAAAUGGCUCUUCAAGAGGGCUUUUCGGUCUUUCGUCCAUCGUUCUUUAACGGAUUGGACUUUACUUAUUGGAAAACUCGAAUGAGAGUUUUCUUGAUUUCUCUAAAUCUGGAUUUAUGGAAUAUCGUUGAAAAUAGUUUUCAACUUCCCUCUAAACCGACGAACAAAUGGUCGGAUUUGGAGAAGAAGUAUUUCUCUUUAAACGCAAAGGCUAUGAAUGCCUUAUUUUGCGCUUUGGACAAAAAUGAGUUCAAUCGGAUUUCUACAUGCGAAACAGCUUUUGACAUUUGGCGAACACUUGAAAUCACGCACGAAGGAACUAGUAGUGUCAAAGAUUCGAAAGUUAACUUUUUAUUGUAUGAUUUCGAGCUUUUUCGAAUGCAACCAAGCGAGACUAUAGGCGACAUGUACACCCGUUUCACGGAUGUCGUCAAUAGUUUAAGAGCUCUUGGAAAAUGUUUUUCGGACUUUGAACUCGUAAACAAGAUUUUGCGUUCUCUUUCUAAGAAGUGGGAUUCAAAAGUAACUGCAAUACAAGAAGCUAAAAACCUAAACAACUUACCACUUGAAGAACUAAUUGGUUCAUUGAUGACAUAUGAAAUGGUGCACAAUGCACAUGAUGAGGACAAUGAUGAACAAAACAACCUUCCAAAGAACAGGAAGGAUUUGGGACAUAGAACAUUUGAAGACCACUCGAGCAUAAGCUCAAGUGAUGGUGAACUUAAACUACAAAUGAAACGAAAAUUAAAAAGCAAAAAGAAUCGAACUACUUGCUUUAAACGCAAGAAGAAGAACAAAAAUUGGGGUGAAUCGAGCUCCUCCGAAGAAGAGAAAGUCAACAAAAGCAAGGCGGCAAACUACGCCUUAACAGCCUACAAUGAUGAGGAGAAGUCACUGCGGGAGCAAAACAAGAUAUUGGAGGAGGAGCUGAUGGAGAAGCAGAAGCUCAUGGCUCCGUCCCACCAAGCACAGAGGCAACAGCAAAACCAGCUCCCAUCAAGCUCGUCUUCACCGCCCUC